rnacentral:rRNA from 1 species
UACGUAGGGUGCGAGCGUUAAUCGGAAUUACUGGGCGUAAAGCGUGCGCAGGCGGUUUUGUAAGCCAGAUGUGAAAUCCCCGGGCUUAACCUGGGAAUGGCAUUUGGGACUGCAAGGCUUGAGUGCGGCAGAGGAGACUGGAAUUCCUGGUGUAGCAGUGAAAUGCGUAGAUAUCAGGAGGAACACCGAUGGCGAAGGCAGGUCUCUGGGCUGACACUGACGCUCAUGCACGAAAGCGUGGGGAGCGAAACAA